rnacentral:rRNA from 1 species
CUGAUGCAGCGACGCCGCGUGGGGGAUGACGGCCUUCGGGUUGUAAACUCCUUUCGCCAGGGACGAAGCGUUUUGUGACGGUACCUGGAGAAGAAGCACCGGCUAACUACGUGCCAGCAGCCGCGGUAAUACGUAGGGUGCAAGCGUUGUCCGGAAUUACUGGGCGUAAAGAGCUCGUAGGUGGUUUGUCACGUCGUCUGUGAAAUUCCACAGCUUAACUGUGGGCGUGCAGGCGAUACGGGCUGACUUGAGUACUGUAGGGGUAACUGGAAUUCCUGGUGUAGCGGUGAAAUGCGCAGAUAUCAGGAGGAACACCGAUGGCGAAGGCAGGUUACUGGGCAGUUACUGACGCUGAGGAGCGAAAGCAUGGGUAGCAAACA